rnacentral:lncRNA from 1 species
CCUGAAAGGAUGGAUUCUGUUAGUACAAAUGUUAUAAACAUCUGCAACAUUUAAAUCAUGUUUAAGUACAGCAUCAUUUACUAACCAUUUUCUGGAUAUCUUUGAAGGAAAACAAACACCUGGAAAAAAGCCCUCAGUGCUUUGGAGGGAUAUUUCUGAAAUGCUCAUUGGCAUCAUGUAAAAUCAGCCAGGCCUCAACUUCUUUGAAGUGAGAAGAAAUGUUUUUUAAUGCAUUUGACUGUGUUAAUUAAGCAAAAGGACAAAACAAAAGCAGAAGGAUAGACAUCAGACAGAGAGAAGAACUGAAGGAAGAAUUAAGAGGAAACCCUAACUUUCUAAAAUGAGUCAGUGAAUCAAGGGGAUUAAUUAUAAAUCCAGAAGGAGUUUCUGAACAUACUGACUUUCAGACAGAACACAUCAAAUUAGAAGUACAAUGGAAAAGCCUAAGCAGCAGAGAUAUGACAGACCUCAGAGGCAUUACUUGGUAUUUACACUGUGGAGAAGGAUCUAUAAAGUUUCUAAGCUACAUUAAGAAAAAAUGACUUCAAAAUUGGACCAGAGAGAUAACACCACUUAUGAUCCUCUUGCUUGGAAUGAGAGCAAUGCAGUACAUUCGAACAACACACUGAGUUACUAUUGACCCAUCUGGGACAAUCCUGACUACUGAAGAAAUGGGAGAUGAUCAUACGAAGUAUAUUUUCUGGAAAUGAUAUAAGCCAGGAAAUUCUCUUUUUUUGACAGAGGUUUGGAAUAUGUCUGUCUAAUUCACUCUCUGAUUCUUUUUGUAUCUGUCACAACCUCAGUGGUGGGAAAAUUCUAGAUUUUUCAUCCAAGGAAUAUUUCCUGUGCUGUGCCCUCAGACAUCUUUCAUGGCAUGGCAGAAAACCCAUACGUACUCAUUUUUAAGUAGAAUUUAUAUUAAUGAACUUGUGUCACCUGUGUGUCUUGGCUCCUUCUACAGCCAAUGCAGAGAUGUAAUUCACUGGUUGUAUUCUGCAGUGGGAAGCUACUCAGUGCAAUCAAUACACACAAAUGUGGCACAGUUUUCAUCUCAGAAACAAAUGAUUGAUGUAACAUUUUCAGGGCCAUUCAGAAGCAGCAUACAAUGACCAGGAAGAGUUUUUCUUUUCCUGGGAGUACACAUAAGUGAAAGCUUAUGUGAGCCAUCCUCCUGGACACCUAUCCACUGACGGUGCCUUCAUUUGUUCCAAAAAGUAUUCAAAUUGACAUCUAGUCAGCACAGAUCACAAGGAGUAACCCUCAGGUUGCAGCAAAUAGCAGUGUACAAAACCCAU